CCUACGGGAGGCAGCAGUGGGGAAUAUUGCGCAAUGGGCGAAAGCCUGACGCAGCGACGCCGCGUGAGGGAUGAAGGUCUUCGGAUCGUAAACCUCUGUCAGCAGGGAAGAAAGGUCACGGUGCUAAUCAGCAGUGAAUUGACGGUACCUGCAAAGGAAGCACCGGCUAACUCCGUGCCAGCAGCCGCGGUAAUACGGAGGGGGCGAGCUUUAAGCGGAAUUACUGGGCGAAAAGCGCUCGUAGGCGGUAGGUCAAGUCAAGGGUGAAAUCCCCGCGCUCAACGUGGGAAAUGCCUUUGAAACUGGCAAACUGGCGUGUGUGAGAGGAUAGUGGAAUUCCAGGUG
rnacentral:rRNA from 1 species